AGUUCAGCUCGACGAGAUCGAUGGAUUGCUCUGCCACACUGACAUGAAUGGUCCUGGAGAUCAGGUUCAAUUAUUGGGGGAGGAGGAAAUGCGACGAAAACGAUGUGUUUAAAAUCUGCGACUUGCUCUUAAGGUUCCGAUGAAUGUAUCUGAUAAUCUGAGUGAGUGUCCACUCAAGUGCUUUUCUCCCCCUCCUUUCUUUUCAACUGACAUUAAUCCGGUUAUCUGCGCCAGUGAGUGUACUACUGCUGCUAGUGCGCUACACUGCACUCGACCAGCUAACUGCGAACCUGGGUCUUGGCGUUAGGUUUGGCGUGGUUUGCAACUCUGUACUACACAUAUAUCCUUACAGGAAAUUUGCUGCGGGAAAGCAGGUGCUAUGGUCCACGCAUGCCCGAACAUACAUGAUUUCACUUUGCAAGCAAAGCAAAGUUCAACGCAGACAUGGCCAGCCAAAAAGUAUGAAUGUACUACAUUACGGAGGAUUACAGGCACUUGUACUGCACAAUCUCUGUAUGAGGAUUCUGUACUUCUGUUGUGGAUUAAAAUGUCCGUCUUAUUAAUCAACAACGAUGUCCAAGCUCUAGAUUUUACCUUAGUAGUCCGGUACUCCUUAAGUGAGGAAGGAGUACCACUGAAAUCUAGCCCUUGGAUUGAAAGUUGCAACGCAUGCUUGAGGCCAUAUCGCCGCCGCAUUGACCGGGAUCAUGCACGCAGCCGCCGAUGCGGCACCGCCGGCCGUUUCUUGCACACACAAGAUUGUGCCGCCGAUGCCCACAAGCGAUAGAAAGCCUGGACCGGUGAUCCUCGAUCGGCUCCACCUACGUCAUCGUCCUGUUCAUGCAAGCAUCCAUAUAUAUGAUCCUCUUGCCUGCAGCUGAUCAGCGCGAGCUAUGCGACUUUAGAACGGUGGUUAUGACCGCUCGCCGCAGCUCCAACAGGUCGACCCCCGGGUGACCAUUCUUCGCCGGGCGCCGGCCGUCUGUCUCUCCUGUGCGGCCACAUCGCAGCCGCUGCUGGCGCCUCUCCCCAACUAGGAUUGAGAUUAUCCAAGAAUAGUUAUUAACACAGGGUAGCUAGGAUCGAUCGAUUUGAAUUGCUACUAUUCUGUUCGAUCUGUAGCGGCCGUAAGCACGGAGACAUGAACGUCCAGAGGACAAGAACGACGUAGUAAUUAGAGUACCCAAACAGAUUGCUUUGAAGAUUACGUUUUUGCCCCUAAACUCUAGGUACUCCCUUGUUUUUUAGGUGGUACUUCCUUCUGUUUUAGGUGGAGUGCCAACUAAGAUGUUCCAUCCGAUUAAAAGAAACAGAGGGCCCGUAUCCGUUUAAGGUUACAGCAAAAGAGCUCUAGUAGUAUUACAUGUUUGUUCUAUGAUUCUACCUUAGGGGUCGGCGUUCGGUCAAGACUGAUAGUGCCGUCUUUAUAUUUCG